CUCUCUAUUCUACCUACCUUCUUGAAGCUUCUUCUUCAAUCAACAAUCUUUCAAAAAUCUAAGAUCAUUGCACAUAUAGAGAAGGUAUGUAAACGAAACAAGAUUUUUAUGUAUUUUAAGUGUUUAAUCCCACUUUUUAAAGAUUUUUUUGUAUUUUUUGUGUUGUUCUUUAUGAUUUACAUUAUCCGAUUUGAAUGUUAUGAAAGGAUCAUUUGUUGUUGAUGUCUUUAUUGAGUGAUGUUCUUACUGAUUCUUUUGUUUUGGUUUUAUUUUUUCAUGAUUAACCCUAAAUUUUAUGCCACUGCCGGACUAUCAAUCUUCCUCGAACAUGUUACAGAUCCAAUCAAAAAAAUUAAAGGCAAGUUGUUUUAGUUAGUUGUUUAUCAUGUCUUCCCAAUUUAUGACAGUUAUUGAAUUUUGUUGAAUUUGUUCUUCAUGUGAAUCCUUAAUCUGUUAUAAAAAUUGGACUCCGAUAAUUCCUCAAACAAAAGAGGUUAGUUAAAUUUUUUUAUCUUUUUUAAGUUUGUAAUAUUUAAUUUUAUCCUUUCUGUUCAGAUGUUUUUUUUAAUUAGUAAUAUAUGUUCUGAAUGAUUUAUGGUUUGUAUUUUCCCAUGGUUAACCGUCAAUCUUUUGUGAAAUUCGUACUCGGAAUGUUCGUCUACCAAAACAGGUUAGUUAAAUGUUGUUGUUAUUGUUUGUUUUUUGAUGUAUAGUCUUUCUUAUUUCUUAUUAAAUUUUGUGUCACUAUUUUUUUUAAUUAGUAAUAUAUGUUCUGAAUGAUUUGUUGUUUGUAUUUUCCCAUUGUGAACCCUCAAUCUUUUUUGAAAUUCGGACUCGGAAUGUUCGUCUAC